CAUCUAUUUAACAGUUCUUAUAUAGUACACAUAUCUAAAAAACCAUGUCUGUGUGCUUAGAAUCUAGAAAGGAAUGUAUAUUGGAAAAAAAUCUGUGUGUAUAUUGAAUCUGUAUAUUGAAUUUUACAUUGAAAAUAUAGGCUGUUCACUCUGAUAAAGAAAACAUGGCCAAUAAAGUUAAGUGAAGAGUUGGAAUGCAUGGAACGCACAGACGGAACAGCUAUACAGCACGGAUUAUUGCCGCAACGAAUGACGUCAUAUGAAGAGGAAGGGGAUCGAAGGAGAAGAAAGCGUGUGCUCUCAAUCUGCAAUCAUAGAUGGCAUAUAAGAAACCAUUCACCUGGGAAGAUCAUAAGCAACUGAGGAAGCCUAUUUGAGAGGCGAAACGCAUAUUGCUACCCACAUGUGGACUUUAUAAUUAUUAUUUUUAUUUCUGUUUAUCCAAGUGUUUUAUUAUAUUACCA